rnacentral:rRNA from 1 species
UGGGGAAUCUUGCACAAUGGGCGAAAGCCUGAUGCAGCAACGCCGCGUGCGGGAAGAAGGCCCUCGGGUUGUAAACCGCUUUCAGAAGGAACGAAACUGACGGUACUUUCAGAAGAAGGUGCGGCCAACUACGUGCCAGCAGCCGCGGUGACACGUAGGCACCAAGCGUUGUUCGGAUUUACUGGGCGUAAAGGGCGCGUAGGCGGUGUGUCAAGUCAGUUGUGAAAUCUCCGAGCUUAACUCGGAACGGUCAACUGAUACUGUCACACUAGAGUACAGAAGGGGCAAUCGGAAUUCUUGGUGUAGCGGUGAAAUGCGUAGAUAUCAAGAGGAACACCUGAGGUGAAGACGGGUUGCUGGGCUGACACUGACGCUGAGGCGCGAAAGCCAGGGGAGCAAACGGGAUUAGAUACCCCUGUAGUCCCUGAGCGGGCUGGCAAGGCGCAU